GACGAACGCUGGCGGCGUGCCUAACACAUGCAAGUCGAGCGGAGACUUCAGCAAUGAUGUCUUAGCGGCGGACGGGUGAGUAACGCGUGGGCAACCUGCCUUCCACUGGGGGAUAACACAGGGAAACUUGUGCUAAUACCGCAUGACACCACAGAAGGACAUCCUUCAGUGGUCAAAGGAGCAAUCCGGUGGAAGAUGGGCCCGCGUCCGAUUAGCUGGUUGGCGGGGUAGAGGCCCACCAAGGCGACGAUCGGUAGCCGAACUGAGAGGUUGAUCGGCCACAUUGGGACUGAGACACGGCCCAGACUCCGACGGGAGGCAGCAGUGGGGAAUAUUGCGCAAUGGGGGGAACCCUGACGCAGCAACGCCGCGUGAAGGAUGAAGGUUUUCGGAUCGUAAACUUCUUUGACGGGGGACGAACAAUGACGGUACCCCGAAAACAAGCCACGGCUAACUACGUGCCAGCCGCCGCAGUAAGAC
rnacentral:rRNA from 1 species